UACGGAGGGGGCUAGCGUUGUUCGGAAUUACUGGGCGUAAAGCGCACGUAGGCGGCUUUGUAAGUUAGAGGUGAAAGCCCGGAGCUCAACUCCGGAAUUGCCUUUAAGACUGCAUCGCUCGAAUCAUGGAGAGGUGAGUGGAAUUCCGAGUGUAGAGGUGAAAUUCGUAGAUGUUCGGAAGAACACCAGUGGCGAAGGCGACUCACUGGACAUGUAUUGACGCUGAGGUGCGAAAGCGUGGGGAGCAAACAGG
rnacentral:rRNA from 1 species